GAUGAACGCUGGCGGCGUGCCUAAUACAUGCCAGUCGAGCGAACGGACGAGAAGCUUGCUCCUCUGAUGUUAGCGGCGGACGGGUGAGUAACACGUGGAUAACCUACCUAUAAGACUGGGAUAACUUCGGGAAACCGGAGCUAAUACCGGAUGAUAUUUUGAACCGCAUGGUUCAAAAGUGAAAGACGGUCUUGCUGUCACUUAUAGAUGGAUCCGCGCUGCAUUAGCUAGUUGGUAAGGUAACGGCUUACCAAGGCAACGAUGCAUAGCCGACCUGAGAGGGUGAUCGGCCACACUGGAACUGAGACACGGUCCAGACUCCUACGGGAGGCAGCAGUAGGGAAUCUUCCGCAAUGGGCGAAAGCCUGACGGAGCAACGCCGCGUGAGUGAUGAAGGUCUUCGGAUCGUAAAACUCUGUUAUUGGGGAAGAACAUAUGUGUAAGUAACUGUGGACAUCUUGACGGUACCUAAUCAGAAAGCCACGGCUAACUACGUG
rnacentral:rRNA from 1 species